rnacentral:rRNA from 1 species
CCUUUACUGACGCUAAAGCUCGAAGGUGCGGGUAUCGAACAGGAUUAGAUACCCUGGUAGUCCGCACGGUAAAACGAUGGAUGCCCGCUGUUGGCGAUAUACAGUCAGCGGCCAAGAGAAAUCGUUAAGCAUCCCACCUGGGGAGUACGCCGGCAACGGUGAAACUCAAAGGAAUUGACGGGGGCCCGCACAAGCGGAGGAACAUGUGGUUUAAUUCGAUGAUACGCGAGGAACCUUACCCGGGCUUGAACUGCACAGGAAGGAUACAGAGAUGUUGACGCCCUUCGGGGCCUGUGUGGAGGUGCUGCAUGGUUGUCGUCAGCUCGUGCCGUGAGGUGUCGGCUUAAGUGCCAUAACGAGCGCAACCCUUUUCAUCAGUUGCCAUCAGGUGAUGCUGGGCACUCUGUUGAUACUGCCACCGUAAGGUGUGAGGAAGGUGGGGAUGACGUCAAAUCAGCACGGCCCUUACGUCCGGGGCUACACACGUGUUACAAUGGGGCAUACAGAAGGCGGGAUCAUGGCAACAUGGUUCAAAUCUUUAAAGUGCUCCUCAGUUCGGAUUGGGGUCUGCAACCCGACCCCAUGAAGCUGGAUUCGCUA